GAUGAACGCUGGCGGCGUGCCUAAUAUAUGCAAGUCGAGCGAACAGACGAGGAGCUUGCUCCUCUGAUGUUAGCGGCGGACGGGUGAGUAACACGUGGAUAACCUACCUAUAAGACUGGGAUAACUUCGGGAAACCGGAGCUAAUACCGGAUAACAUGUUGAACCGCAUGGUUCAACAGUGAAAGACGGUCUUGCUGUCACUUAUAGAUGGAUCCGCGCCGCAUUAGCUAGUUGGUAAGGUAACGGCUUACCAAGGCAACGAUGCGUAGCCGACCUGAGAGGGUGAUCGGCCACACUGGAACUGAGACACGGUCCAGACUCCUACGGGAGGCAGCAGUAGGGAAUCUUCCGCAAUGGGCGAAAGCCUGACGGAGCAACGCCGCGUGAGUGAAGAAGGUCUUCGGAUCGUAAAACUCUGUUAUUAGGGAAGAACAAAUGUGUAAGUAACUAUGCACGUCUUGACGGUACCUAAUCAGAAAGCCACGGCUAACUACGU
rnacentral:rRNA from 1 species